rnacentral:rRNA from 1 species
UACGUAGGGUGCAAGCGUUAUCCGGAAUUAUUGGGCGUAAAGAGCUCGUAGGCGGUUUGUCACGUCUGCUGUGAAAACUGGAGGCUCAACCUCCAGCCUGCAGUGGGUACGGGCAGACUAGAGUGCGGUAGGGGAGAUUGGAAUUCCUGGUGUAGCGGUGGAAUGCGCAGAUAUCAGGAGGAACACCGGUGGCGAAGGCGGGUCUCUGGGCCGAUACUGACGCUGGAGGAGCGAAAGCGUGGGGAGCGAACAGG